AUUGAACGCUGGCGGCAUGCCUUACACAUGCAAGUCGAACGGUAACAGGUUAAGCUGACGUGUGGCGAACGGGUGAGUAAUGUAUCGGAACGUGCCCAGUCGUGGGGGAUAACUGCUCGAAAGAGCAGCUAAUACCGCAUACGACCUGAGGGUGAAAGCGGGGGAUCGCAAGCCCUCGCGCGAUUGGAGCGGCCGAUAUCAGAUUAGGUAGUUGGUGAGGUAAAGGCUCACCAAGCCGACGAUCUGUAGCUGGUCUGAGAGGACGACCAGCCACACUGGGACUGAGACACGGCCCAGACUCCUACGGGAGGCAGCAGUGGGGAAUUUUGGACAAUGGGCGCAAGCCUGAUCCAGCCAUGACGCGUGCGAGAAGACGGCCUUCGGGUUGUAAACCGCUUUUGUCAGGGAAGAAAAGGUUCUGACUAAUACCUGGAACUCAUGACGGUACCUGAAGAAUAAGCACCGGCUAACUACGUG
rnacentral:rRNA from 1 species